ACCAGCUGAGUUCGCGUGUGGGGGGCGUCGCUUGCCCUUCCAGAAACUCGACGCCGACCUUGCCUAGCCCGUAUCCCGUUUAUCCUGUACCUGCUGACAAAAUGGGCUGAAAUCCUGGAACUAACCGAGGACCUACAGAGAGGAUGCAGGCUGUGACCUGGAGAGCGUAAGCUGAGCUCCAAGCAUCUCCGAAGCUGAUAUCCCCCUGCCCCACCCCGCCUGUUCUUCCUGCAGCCACACAGGCUGACUGAGCAGGAGGGAAGGAAGCUUCCCACAGCGACGCGGCCACAUGAAUGUGGCAAACCCUCCUUGUUGCCUAAUGCCGCCUGCCUGGGGGAAGGGGACGAAGUCUCCACAGAAGAAGGGGGCUCUGCCAGGGACAGUGCCACGCUUACAGCACCUCAGUGCCUGUGAACAGACAGCUCACGGUGCCACCCAGAUUAGCUCAGGGCAGCCAACCUCCUUCUGCACACCUGGGGCUGAUGAGCCUGCUCCCCUCCUCCCCUGCCUUUCCACGCAAGGUGAGGCCAGGCUGACCAGGAAGUCCCAGCUAGAAGAGCCGGGAUAUGGUGGUGCAUGCCCGCAAUCCUAGCACUCGGAGACUGAGGCAGGAGAAUCUCUGUGAGUUCCAGACCAGCCUAGCUACAUGGUGAGUUCAAGGCCAACCUGCACUACACAGCAACGACAGUCUCUGACUGGAAUUCAGUGAGGAAUGCUAAAUAUUCCCAAGCUAAAACUGGACGGGAAGGCACUAAGCUCUGCGUGGCCGCACGGCCUGUGGUCCUAACCAGGCCACACUCCCUCCCUGCAGAAAGACCCUGACUUUUGCCCCGGCAACAGUCUACACACCCAUCAGAUCAGCACUCCAGAGGGACUCCAGGUCAGAACAGGGGACCGUGCCUUACCGAUGAGGGUGACAGGAACGCCGUACUCCAGGGCGGAGAUGGCCGUCCAUUUCCCAGUGCCCUUCUGCCCCGCGCUGUCCCUGAUCUUGGGCAGCAGAUGUUGGCCAUCGCUGUCUUUGAACUUGAGGAUAUUGGCGGUGAUUUCAAUCAGGAACGAGUCCAGCUCUGUCUUAUUCCAGUCCUCGAAUGCCUGUGGUGGCGGCAGAGGGACAAAGCAAUGUCAGGGCCAGGCACCUUCCGCAGGACACACUCCUCCCUGGCUCUGCUACCGGCCCCACCCGUGACCAGGGGCACAGCUGCCCAAGCACCUGGCGGGGGUGGGAGCGCAGGGUGGAGGGUGCGCCCCCUGGUGCCCGCCUGCUACCCUGGUGUUGCGGCCCGUGGCACAAACAAACCGAACCCCACACCCACUUCCAUUUCUUCAGGACAGUCACCAUGAAGCCUCAGGACUGCACCUCCCAUGUGUUCACGUGUUAGAUGAACAGACCGAGUAUUAUGUAAACCAAGCAAAUACAAACAAACAGAAAAGCAGUAUUUCGGAAACACACUCGAGACAGGAGGAUGGAUGCCAGGUGCAGUAGUGCACGCCUGUAAUCCCAGCACUCGGGAGACUGAGGCAGGAGGAUCACUGAGAGUCCCAGGCCAGCCUGGGCUACACAGGGAGACCCUGUCUCAACAACAACAAAAAACAAAACAGAAAGAUAGGCGAAUGGGGCUGGGGAGCUCAGUGUAGAGCUCUUGCCUGGCAUUCAUGAGGCACUGGGUUCAAUCCCAUGUCUUCAAGUGAAACAAAUGUUUGCCUAAUGCCACCGGGAAGAAGUGCUGACCAUGCACUGCACCCAGAAUAUCACACGAGCCCUCCA